CCAAUAGCGUAUAUUAAAGUUGUUGCAGUUAAAAAGCUCGUAGUUGAAUUUCGGGAUCAAUUGAUUGGUCAUGCCUUGGUAUGUACUGGUCAUAUUGGUUCUCACCUUCUAAUGAACCAUAAUGUCAUUUAUUUGAUGUUAUGGGGAAUUAGGACUGUUACCUUGAAAAAAUUAGAGUGUUUAAAGCAGGCUUACGCUUGAAUACAUUAGCAUGGAAUAAUGAAAUAGGACAUCGUAUUCUAUUUUGUUGGUUUCUAGGAUCGAUGUAAUGAUUAAUAGGGAUAGUUGGGGGCAUUAGUAUUCAAUUGUCAGAGGUGAAAUUCUUGGGUUUAUUGAAGACUAACUACUGCGAAAGCAUUUGCCAAGGAUGUUUUCAUUAAUCAAGAACGAAAGUUAGGGGAUCGAAGACGAUCAGAUACCGUCGUAGUCUUAACCAUAAACUAUGCCGACUAGGGAUCGGAUGAUGUUAAUUUUUAAAUGACUCAUUCGGCACCUUACG
rnacentral:rRNA from 1 species